GCAUAUCAAUAAGCGGAGGAAAAGAAACCAACAGGGAUUGCCCUAGUAACGGCGAGUGAAGCGGCAACAGCUCAAAUUUGAAAUCUGGCUCUUUCAGAGUCCGAGUUGUAAUUUGCAGAGGGCGCUUUGGCAUUGGCAGCGGUCCAAGUUCUUUGGAACAGGACGUCACAGAGGGUGAGAAUCCCGUACGUGGUCGCUAGCCUUUGCCGUGUAAAGCCCCUUCGACGAGUCGAGUUGUUUGGGAAUGCAGCUCUAAAUGGGAGGUAAAUUUCUUCUAAAGCUAAAUACUGGCCAGAGACCGAUAGCGCACAAGUAGAGUGAUCGAAAGAUGAAAAGCACUUUGGAAAGAGAGUCAAAUAGCACGUGAAAUUGUUGAAAGGGAAGCGCUUGCAGCCAGACUUGCCUGUAGUUGCUUAUCUGGACUUUUGUCCAGUGCACUCUUCUGCGGGCAGGCCAGCAUCAGUUUGGGCGGUUGGAUAAAGGUCUCUGUCAUGUACCUCUCUUCGGGGAGGCCUUAUAGGGGAGACGACAUGCAACCAGCCUGGACUGAGGUCCGCGCAUCUGCUAGGAUGCUGGCGUAAUGGCUGUAAGCGGCCCGUCUUGAAACACGGACCAAGGAGUCUAACAUCUAUGCGAGUGUUUGGGUGUCAAGCCCAGACGCGUAAUGAAAGUGAACGGAGGUGGGAACCCUUUGGGUGCACCAUCGACCGAUCCUGAUGUCUUCGGAAGGAUUUGAGUAAGAGCAUGGCUGUUGGGACCCGAAAGAUGGUGAACUAUGCUUGAAUAGGGUGAAGCCAGAGGAAACUCUGGUGGAGGCUCGCAGCGGUUCUGACGUGCAAAUCGAUCGUCAAAUUUGGGCAUAGGGGCGAAAGACUAAUCGAACUAUCUAGUAGCUGGUUCCUGCCGA
rnacentral:rRNA from 1 species